GUUAUCUCAUCAUUUUGGUCAAUGACAUCAUCAAACCAUUCGGCCAAUUCUUUAUAAUUGGUUGAUGAGCAAGCCAAAUUUUAUUUUGAGUUCCUUAUUUUUAGUAAGAAGUUUUGUUAGGCAAAUAUGUGAUGACCUUGAUGAUGAUAAGAAGGCGAGUGGCUUGCAGUGGGUUUCUUCAUCACUUGAUCUUGUCAUAUCAAACCCACCCGUAGCAAUGCUUGUGAAGGCCUUCUUG
rnacentral:lncRNA from 1 species